AGAAACUUAGGUUAAUAUCCAAACCAAGAGCCUUCAAAGCCCUAAACAGAGGGUGCCCCUCUAGUCUCUG
rnacentral:tRNA from 2 species